GUUACAGCAGCCGCGGUAAUACGUAGGGGGCGAGCGUUGUCCGGAAUCAUUGGGCGUAAAGAGCUCGUAGGCGGUUCAGCAAGUCGGCUGUGAAAUUCCGAGGCUCAACCUCGGAACUGCAGUCGAUACUGCUGUGACUCGAGUCCGGUAGAGGAGAAUGGAAUUCCCGGUGUAGCGGUGAAAUGCGCAGAUAUCGGGAGGAACACCAGUAGCGAAGGCGGUUCUCUGGGCCGGUACUGACGCUGAGGAGCGAAAGCGUGGGGAGCAAACAGGAUUAGAUACCCGUGUAGUCC
rnacentral:rRNA from 1 species